AUGUAAAUGGCUGAGUGGUUAAGGCUUCAAGACUACUAAACAGAAGGUUUUGAGUUCAAAUCCAAGCCUAGAUG